GAUGAAGAACGCAGCGAAGUGCGAUAAGUAGUGUGAAUUGCAGAAUUCAGUGAAUCAUCGAAUCUUUGAACGCACAUUGCGCCCUUUGGUAUUCCAAAGGGCAUGCCUGUUCGAGCGUCAUUUGUACCCUCAAGCUUUGCUUGGUGUUGGGCGUCUUGUCUCUAGCUUUGCUGGAGACUCGCCUUAAAGUAAUUGGCAGCCGGCCUACUGGUUUCGGAGCGCAGCACAAGUCGCACUCUCUAUCAGCAAAGGUCUAGCAUCCAUUAAGCCUUUUUUUCAACUUUUGACCUCGGAUCAGGUAGGGAUACCCGCUGAACUUAAGCAUAUCAAUAAGCGGAGGA
rnacentral:misc_RNA from 1 species